AAAGUCGUAACAAGGUUUCCGUAGGUGAACCUGCGGAAGGAUCAUUACCGAGCUCCUGCCCUUCGGGGUAGAGACGCCACCCGUGUAUACCAGACCGACGUUGCUUUGGCGGGCCCCGCGCCCGCCAGAGACCCCAAACCCUGAGUGUUAGUGUCGUCCGAGUACUAUCUAAUAGUUAAAACUUUCAACAACGGAUCUCUUGGUUCUG
rnacentral:misc_RNA from 1 species